ACGGGAGGCAGCAGUGAGGAAUAUUGGACAAUGGGCGCAAGCCUGAUCCAGCCAUGCCGCGUGCAGGAUGACGGUCCUAUGGAUUGUAAACUGCUUUUAUACGAGAAGAAACACUGGUUCGUGAACCAGCUUGACGGUAUCGUAAGAAUAAGGAUCGGCUAACUCCGUGCCAGCAGCCGCGGUAAUACGGAGGAUCCAAGCGUUAUCCGGAAUCAUUGGGUUUAAAGGGUCCGUAGGCGGUCAGAUAAGUCAGUGGUGAAAGCCCAUCGCUCAACGGUGGAACGGCCAUUGAUACUGUCUGACUUGAAUUAUUAGGAAGUAACUAGAAUAUGUAGUGUAGCGGUGAAAUGCUUAGAGAUUACAUGGAAUACCAAUUGCGAAGGCAGGUUACUACUAAUAUAUUGACGCUGAUGGACGAAAGCGUGGGUAGCGAACAGGAUUAGAUACCCUGGUA
rnacentral:rRNA from 1 species